rnacentral:rRNA from 1 species
CAGUAGCCGCGGGAAUACGGAGGGUGCAAGCGUUAUCCGGAUUUAUUGGGUUUAAAGGGUCCGUAGGCGGAUCUGUAAGUCAGUGGUGAAAUCUCACAGCUUAACUGUGAAACUGCCAUUGAUACUGCAGGUCUUGAGUAAAUUUGAAGUGGCUGGAAUAAGUAGUGUAGCGGUGAAAUGCAUAGAUAUUACUUAGAACACCAAUUGCGAAGGCAGGUCACUAAGAUUUAACUGACGCUGAUGGACGAAAGCGUGGGGAGCGAACAGGAUUAGAUACCCCGUAGUCCCUGUCUCUUAUACA